rnacentral:misc_RNA from 1 species
AGCAGCCGCGGUAAUUCCAGCUCCAAUAGCGUAUAUUAAAGUUGUUGCAGUUAAAAGCUCGUAGUUGAAUUUCGGGGUCAGUAGGUUGGUCGUGCCACCGGUACGUACUGGUCUCACUGAUUCCUCCUUCCUGGAGAACCGUAAUGCCAUUAAUUUGGUGUUGCGGGGAAACAGGACUGUUACUUUGAAAAAUUAGAGUGUUUAAAGCAGGCUAACGCUUGAAUACAUUAGCAUGGAAUAAUGAAAUAGGACGAUCGAUCCUAUUUUGUUGGUUUCUAGGAUUGACGUAAUGAUUAAUAGGGAUAGUUGGGGGCAUUAGUAUUCAAUUGUCAGAGGUGAAAUUCUUGGAUUUAUUGAAGACUAACUACUGCGAAAGCAUUUGCCAAGGAUGUUUUCACUAAUCAAGAACGAAAGUUAGGGAUCGAAGACGAUCAGAUACCGUCGUAGUCUUAAC